rfam:Omnitrophica WOR_2 bacterium RIFOXYA2_FTLL_38_17 rifoxya2_full_scaffold_271, whole genome shotgun sequence.
AAAUCCCUGCUGUGUACGUUAGGACGUUUAUAGAGAACCAACACUCUAUAAAGGGACGCUAAACUUCCGGUAUGUUUGAGGACAUUUCGGAGAGGUUCCCACUUGGUGAAAAGGUUCACCUAUUCUCUUGUCCGACGGCAUGGUGGGGAUUUU